rnacentral:rRNA from 1 species
AAUCAACGCUGGCGGCGUGCCUAACACAUGCAAGUCGCACGAGAAAGGGGAGCAAUCCCUGAGUAAAGUGGCGCACGGGUGAGUAACACGUGAAUCAUCUACCUCCGAGUGGGGAAUAACUGAGAGAAAUCUUAGCUAAUACCGCAUAACACUUACGAGUCAAAGCAGCAAUGCGCUUGGAGAGGAGUUCGCGGCCGAUUAGUUAGUUGGCGGGGUAAUGGCCCACCAAGACGAUGAUCGGUAUCCGGCCUGAGAGGGCGCACGGACACACUGGAACUGAAACACGGUCCAGACUCCUACGGGAGGCAGCAGUGGGGAAUUUUGCGCAAUGGGGGAAACCCUGACGCAGCAACGCCGCGUGGAGGAUGAAGUAUCUUGGUAACGU